UUACGGUCACAUCAUGUUGAAACUCUGGUUCCCGUACGAUCACCGAAGUUAAGCAAAGUCGGGCCACGUCAGAACCUAGAUGGGUGACCACUUGGGAAUAACAGGUGCUGUAAG